UAACCUGCCCAAGAGAUCGGGAUAACACCUGGAAACAGAUGCUAAUACCGGAUAACAACAGAUGAUGCCUAUCAACUGUUUAAAAGAUGGUUCUGCUAUCACUCUUGGAUGGACCUGCGGUGCAUUAGCUAGUUGGUAGGGUAACGGCCUACCAAGGCGAUGAUGCAUAGCCGAGUUGAGAGACUGAUCGGCCACAUUGGGACUGAGACACGGUCCAAACUCCUACGGGAGGCAGCAGAG
rnacentral:rRNA from 1 species